CAUUUUUUCUCUGUUUUUCUUGUAAUUCUUCUCCCUUUAUCCAUCUUCUUCUUAGUCUUGUUUUUGAAAUUUAUGGUUUUGGGUCAUCAAUACAAGUGCUCAGAUUUCCAUUGUAUAGGUGACAUGCGGAAUCAAACCGUUAUUAUUUUCACUAUGAAGUGACGAUGGUAAAGUAAUGAUAUUGGAACGGCUCAAUCAAAUCAAAUCUCCUGAGUAGACAGACAAGGUCUUUUAAUUUGAUUGAGUCGUGCCAAUAUCAUGAACUACUACUUACGUUAUUGUUUUAAUGCUUUAACUUGAUCUUGUUGACCGCUAAAGUUUUUGUAGGCCCGUAUUUCAGUUAUGGUUCAGGUUUUGAAGGUUUCAUACACGCGUAUGCAUGUGGAACAUCUAUCCCUACAAAGCAAAGACAAAUUAUCCCUACAAAACAAGGUUGUUGAUUUUACAUAUCGGGCACACGGUCUUCACAUGUUUGCUUUGAAAUGGGUAAUUAUUAAACCUGGGCCGGGCCGGGUUGAAUUGACAUGUCUUGACCUUUUCUGUCGGUUUCUUGAAUUUUAUAAAUAAUUGAUGUAUUGAAGAUGUUUUCAAUAAUUAUACUAAUAAUAUAGCAUAUUGUAGUUUUUUUAUAUUA